GGUAGUAGCAAACAUUCAAAUGAGAACUUUGAAGGCCAAAUUGGAGAAGGGUUCCAUGUGAACAGUAGUUGAACAACGGUCAGGCAGUCCUAAGAUAUAGGAAAGCACUGUUGGGAAGUGCCACGCAAUGGCCUCCGUCGCCCUCGGUCGAUCGAAUGGUACUCGAGUUCAGAUCCUCAAUCCUGGAGCUGGAAAUACUGGCACCUUUGCGAGCGUCAACACAACCAUUUCUGCAAAAGCUGGCAGAAUCCCUGGGGGAGUUAUAUUUUCUUUGUAAAGAGCAGGGUCUCCUGGAGUUGGUUUGCCAUGAGAGAGGGGCCAACACCUUGGAAAGCGUUGCGGUUCUGGUGGGUCAGUUGAGCUCUUGCAGGCCCUUGGAAAUCUGGGGCAAGGGGUGUAAAUUUCACGCUGGGCCGUACUCAGCAGGCCUCCAAGGUUAAAAGCCUCUGGUG